rnacentral:SRP_RNA from 13 species
GCCGGGUGCAGUGGCAUGUGCCUGUAAUCCAAGUCACUGGGAGGCUGAGGUUGGUGGAUCAAGUGAGCUGAGGAGCUCUGGGCUGCAGCACGCUAUGUCGAACGGGUGUCCACGCUAAGUUCGGUAUCGAUAUGGUGUUCCUGGGGGAGCCUGGGACCACCAGGUUGUCUAAGGAGGGGUGAACCGGCCCAGGUCGGAAACGAAGCAGGUCAAAUCCCCCGUGCUGUCCAGUAGUGGGAUAAUACCUGUGAGUUGAUGCUGCAGUGCAGCCUUGGCAAAACAUUGAGACCUAAUCUUUU